rnacentral:rRNA from 1 species
AUGAACGCUGGCGGCGUGCCUCAUACAUGCAAGUCGCGCGAACAGACGAGGAGCUUGCUCCUCUGACGUUAGCGGCGGACGGGUGAGUAACACGUGGAUAACCUACCUAUAAGACUGGGAUAACUUCGGGAAACCGGAGCUAAUACCGGAUAAUAUAUUGAACCGCAUGGUUCAAUAGUGAAAGACGGUUUUGCUGUCACUUAUAGAUGGAUCCGCGCCGCAUUAGCUAGUUGGUAAGGUAACGGCUUACCAAGGCAACGAUGCGUAGCCGACCUGAGAGGGUGAUCGGCCACACUGGAACUGAGACACGGUCCAGACUCCUACGGGAGGCAGCAGUAGGGAAUCUUCCGCAAUGGGCGAAAGCCUGACGGAGCAACGCCGCGUGAGUGAUGAAGGUCUUCGGAUCGUAAAACUCUGUUAUUAGGGAAGAACAAAUGUGUAAGUAACUAUGCACGUCCUGACGGUACCGAAUAGAAAGCCACGGCUAACUACGUG